ensembl:snRNA U6 U6 spliceosomal RNA
GUGCUCACUUCGACAUCGCAUAUACUAAAAUUGGAACGGUACAGGAAAGAUUAGCAUGGCCCCUGUGCAAGGAUGACAUGCAAAUUCAUGAAGUGUUAAAAAAAGAA